GUAUAGUUCAGAUGAGUGAGGAUCUGGCCUCGAUUCAUCCUCCCUCCCUCACACUUAGUCAGAAACCAGGGAAGGGCCUACUGGAUGGAGGGGGAAUUGGCUCACAAGCACUGGAAGUUUGCCACUGCUCCAAGUACGCUGCUCUCUGAAGCAACCUUUCUCUUUCCCCUGGGAGAAAAAAGCCUCCAAGCAGGGUGUAGGAGAGGGCAGAGGGAAUGGCUGCCGAGGGCCCUAGGCCAGCCUUAUUUCUGUGCAGCGGGUUGAAUGGUGUCUCCCAUUCAUGUCCACCUGGAAACUCAGAAUGUGACCUUUUUUGGAAACAGGGUCUUUGCAAAUAUCAUUCAGCUUAGAAAGAGGAAGUUCGUGGGUUGCAAAGUGAGUAAUGGCUGCAUCUGGGAGCUGAUCAAAGGUGGCCAGCCAAGUUGAGUAGCCAGUUCGGUGUAUGAGACUUAACAACACUGGUGGAAGCAGAACCCUGCUGCCCGUGUCUGGGUGGGCGAGAGACUGGGGAAACACGGCCAGGAAGCAGCCCGGCAGAUGGGGGCUGAGCGCACUGGCAGGGGCAGGAGGAGCUGCAGAUCUUUUCUCAGUUGAGCUUCAGAUGAGACCACAGCCCCAGCCAGCUUCUUAAGUGCAGCCUCAUAAGAAACCGUAAGCAGAGAACCAAGAUAAACCAUGCCUGAACUCCUGAUCCACAGAAACUGUGAAAUAGAUCUGCCUGGAACCUGCCGGCCCCCUGCAGCUGGCUUCUUAAAUGCCUGCAGCUGGUGCAAGCCUCUCACUCCAAGAUGUUUCCACCCCAGACACAUCCCAGAGCCCCCUGCAUCUCCUGGGAGGACGAGGAUGGAUGGAAGCGUGCUGCCAACGCUGGGACACCUGCUUGCUUUCUGGGCAGUGGCCAGGAAAUCGCAUCUGCUGCCAGAAGAGAGCACCUGCACAUCCCGGAGAAGGGAAGGGGACAGAGCCGUGUGAUUCUAGCAGAGGAACACCCAUAGGAUUCCUUCUGUUGUUCCCAAGGUCCAGGCUCCCAGGCUGAGUAGGCAGGAAGGAGAAUGUGUCUUCACACAGGAAGCCUCACUGCCCAGAACAUGGGACAGAUCUAGCUGGAGCUGUGCUCAAACAGCUGUGGAGGCAUUAUAAAUCUCUCUCCCCGAGAUGAGGUUCAGAGGCUCUUGACAUGCCCUGCUAAUGGUAAAUCUUCCAGUGCCCACAGAGCAAGCCCUGGACUCUUAGAGCAUCAAGGUGAGACUGCCUGCCCCCCUUAAGCCUGUUAAUGGCAUCAGUGAUGUAUUCCCCUCCAAAUGUGGAAGGCUGCCUCUUUCUUCAUUGGAAGCAUCAAGGGAGUUUUAACUGUAAAACAGACUGUGCUUCAAAUCCCAUCUAAAUGCCUCAUCCUGAAGCUCUGACCUGCCACUUUUCUGCAAAUGACACUGGGUGAUUUGAAUGGGAUUAGAUUGGACAGUGGCCCCUGGCUGUUGUUUAAGUUUGUGUGGGUUUUGUUGUUUGUUUGUUUUAAUGCAACCUGUCUUUAAAUCUUCACUUUCAAAAAAAAAAAAAAGUGGUCAUUAGCCUUAUUUUUUAUUUAGAGGAUGUGAAGUCAGAAGUUCCCUUCCCUGAUUUAUUACCUCAUAGGUUUAUGACUUUGAAGAAUCAUUUCAUCUCUUUUAGUUUCCUCAUCUGUAGAAAGGUGAUUGUAAACUCUUUCUUAUCGGCUGGAUACAAAGAUGAAAUGAGAUAUCCU
rnacentral:lncRNA from 1 species